rnacentral:rRNA from 1 species
AGUGAACGCUGGCGGUAGGCCUAACACAUGCAAGUCGAACGGCAGCACAGGAGAGCUUGCUCUCUGGGUGGCGAGUGGCGGACGGGUGAGGAAUACAUCGGAAUCUACUUUUUCGUGGGGGAUAACGUAGGGAAACUUACGCUAAUACCGCAUACGACCUACGGGUGAAAGCCGGGGACCUUCGGGCCUGGCGCGGAUAAAUGAGCCGAUGUCCGAUUAGCUAGUUGGCGGGGUAAGAGCCCACCAAGGCGACGAUCGGUAGCUGGUCUGAGAGGAUGAUCAGCCACACUGGAACUGAGACACGGUCCAGACUCCUACGGGAGGCAGCAGUGGGGAAUAUUGGACAAUGGGCGCAAGCCUGAUCCAGCCAUACCGCGUGGGUGAAGAAGGCCUUCGGGUUGUAAAGCCCUUUUGUUGGGAAAGAAAAGCAGCCAAUUAAUACCUGGUUG